rnacentral:rRNA from 1 species
AGAGUUUGAUCCUGGCUCAGGAUGAACGCUAGCGGCAGGCUUAACACAUGCAAGUCGAGGGGCAGCAUAAUGGUAGUAAUACUAUUGAUGGCGACCGGCGGACGGGUGCGUAACGCGUAUGCAACCUACCCUUUACAGGGGGAUAACACUGAGAAAUCGGUACUAAUACCCCAUAAUAUUCUGGGAGGCAUCUUUCGGAGUUGAAAGCUUUGGUGGUAAAGGAUGGGCAUGCGUUGUAUUAGCUAGUUGGUAAGGUAACGGCUUACCAAGGCGACGAUACAUAGGGGGACUGAGAGGUUAACCCCCCACAUUGGUACUGAGACACGGACCAAACUCCUACGGGAGGCAGCAGUGAGGAAUAUUGGUCAAUGGACGCAAGUCUGAACCAGCCAUGCCGCGUGCAGGAUGACGGCUCUAUGAGUUGUAAACUGCUUUUGUACGAGGGUAAACGCAGAUACGUGUAUCUGUCUGAAAGUAUCGUACGAAUAAGGAUCGGCUAACUCCGUGCCAGCAGCCGCGGUAAUACGGAGGAUCCAAGCGUUAUCCGGAUUUAUUGGGUUUAAAGGGUGCGUAGGCGGUUUGAUAAGUUAGAGGUGAAAUUUCGGGGCUCAACCCUGAACGUGCCUCUAAUACUGUUGAGCUAGAGAGUAGUUGCGGUAGGCGGAAUGUAUGGUGUAGCGGUGAAAUGCUUAGAGAUCAUACAGAACACCGAUUGCGAAGGCAGCUUACCAAACUAUAUCUGACGUUGAGGCACGAAAGCGUGGGGAGCAAACAGGAUUAGAUACCCUGGUAGUCCACGCAGUAAACGAUGAUAACUCGUUGUCGGCGAUACACAGUCGGUGACUAAGCGAAAGCGAUAAGUUAUCCACCUGGGGAGUACGUUCGCAAGAAUGAAACUCAAAGGAAUUGACGGGGGCCCGCACAAGCGGAGGAACAUGUG